UACGUAGGCAGCGAGCGUUGUUCGGAAUUACUGGGCGUAAAGAGUGUGUAGGCGGUGCUCUAAGUUCGGUGUGAAAUCUCCCGCUUAACUGGGAGGGUGCGCCGGAAACUGGAGUGCUCGAGCGUGGGAGAGGAAAGCGGGAAUUCCUGGUGUAGCGGUGAAAUGCGUAGAUAUCAGGAGGAACACCUGCGGUGUAGACGGCUUUCUGGGCCAUUGCUGACGUGAGACACGAAAGCGUGGGUAGCAAACAGG
rnacentral:rRNA from 1 species